rnacentral:rRNA from 1 species
GACGAACGCUGGCGGCGUGCCUAACACAUGCAAGUCGAACGGAGUAAGUUGCUUCGGUAAUUUACUUAGUGGCGAACGGGUGAGUAACGCGUGAGGAACCUACCUUUCAGUGGGGGACAACAGUUGGAAACGACUGCUAAUACCGCAUAAUGUAUUUGAGUGGCAUCACUCGAAUACCAAAGCUUUAUGUGCUGAAAGAUGGCCUCGCGUCUGAUUAGCUAGUUGGUGAGGUAACGGCUCACCAAGGCGACGAUCAGUAGCCGGUCUGAGAGGAUGAACGGCCACAUUGGGACUGAGAUACGGCCCAGACUCCUACGGGAGGCAGCAGUGGGGAAUAUUGGGCAAUGGGGGAAACCCUGACCCAGCAACGCCGCGUGAAGGAAGAAGGCCCUCGGGUUGUAAACUUCUUUUACCAGGGACGAAGAACGUGACGGUACCUGGAGAAAAAGCCACGGCUAACUACGUGCCAGCAGCCGCGGUAAGAC